rnacentral:rRNA from 1 species
CUACACAUGCAAGUCGAGCGGUAGAGAGGUGCUUGCACCUCUUGAGAGCGGCGGACGGGUGAGUAAAGCCUAGGAAUCUGCCUGGUAGUGGGGGAUAACGCUCGGAAACGGACGCUAAUACCGCAUACGUCCUACGGGAGAAAGCAGGGGACCUUCGGGCCUUGCGCUAUCAGAUGAGCCUAGGUCGGAUUAGCUAGUUGGUGAGGUAAUGGCUCACCAAGGCGACGAUCCGUAACUGGUCUGAGAGGAUGAUCAGUCACACUGGAACUGAGACACGGUCCAGACUCCUACGGGAGGCAGCAGUGGGGAAUAUUGGACAAUGGGCGAAAGCCUGAUCCAGCCAUGCCGCGUGUGUGAAGAAGGUCUUCGGAUUGUAAAGCACUUUAAGUUGGGAGGAAGGGCAUUAAACUAAUACGUUGGUGUUUUGACGUUACCGACAGAAUAAGCACCGGCUAACUCUGUGCCAGCAGCCGCGGUAAUACAGAGGGUGCAAGCGUUAAUCGGAAUUACUGGGCGUAAAGCGCGCGUAGGUGGUUCGUUAAGUUGGAUGUGAAAUCCCCGGGCUCAACCUGGGAACUGCAUUCAAAACUGUCGAGCUAGAGUAUGGUAGAGGGUGGUGGAAUUUCCUGUGUAGCGGUGAAAU